UGGGGAAUAUCGCACAAUGGGCGCAAGCCUGAUGCAGCCAUGCCGCGUGUGUGAAGAAGGCCUUCGGGUUGUAAAGCACUUUCAGCGGGGAGGAAGGCGAUAAGGUUAAUAACCUUGUCGAUUGACGUUACCCGCAGAAGAAGCACCGGCUAACCCCGUGCUAGCAGCCGCGGUAAUACGGAGGGUGCAAGCGUUAAUCGGAAUUACUGGGCGGAAAGCGCACGCAGGCGGUCUGUCAAGUCGGGUGUGAAAUCCCCGGGCUCAACCUGGGAACUGGAAUCGAAACUGGCAGGCUAGAGUAUUGUAGAGGGGGGUAGGAUUCAAGGUGUAGCGGUGAAAUGCGUAGAGAUCUGGAGGAAUAACAGUGGCGAAGGCGGCGCCCUGGGCAAAGACUGACGCUAAGGUGCGAAAGCGUGGGGAGCAAACAGG
rnacentral:rRNA from 1 species